rnacentral:pre_miRNA from 1 species
CUUAUACUCCCUCUGUUCGGAAAUACUUGUCAUUGAAAUGGAUGUAUCUAGAUGUAUUUUAGUUCUAGAUACAUCCAUUUUGGUGACAAGUAAUUCCGAACGGAGGGAGUAGAAA